rnacentral:lncRNA from 1 species
AUCUCGAGCAAUGCGAAAAAAAAUUUACUACAUGACACACGCUAAUUGGAUAAACGCCGAGAAGAUCGAAAUGUUUUAAAAAACACGUGUACCUAUUGAGCAACGGAAAACUCUAACAGGGACCCAUUUCAGUUACUUGAUGCAGGGAUCUAUUUUUAGAACGAAAGGAAAUUUCCAAUUAUAAAUAUUAUAAAAAUAGUUUACGCGACGACUGUAAACAGAUGAGGGUAAAUAACGCAAAUGGUAGCCAAUAAAAGGGUUGAGAACUCAUGGUUUUGGAAUAUAAUUGGGUUUUCCUUUGAAUUAAUUGGGUUAUUGAACCCUGCAAUGUGCAAUUGCAUUGGGUUUUUUAUUAUUUGUAUUGCGUGAUCACGCAAAUACGCAGCUUAUCUGGAGCUCUGGAAUAU